rnacentral:rRNA from 1 species
UACGGAGGGUGCAAGCGUUAUCCGGAUUUAUUGGGUUUAAAGGGUGCGCAGGCGGGGCCUUAAGUCAGUGGUGAAAUCCCUUCACUUAACGAAGGAACUGCCAUUGAUACUGAGGUUCUUGAAUCUAGUUGACGUUAGUGGAAUGUGUCAUGUAGCGGUGAAAUGCUUAGAUAUGACACAGAACACCGAUCGCGAAGGCAGCUAACGAAGCUAGUAUUGACGCUCAGGCACGACAGCAUGGGGAGCAAACAGG